AGGACAGCGUGGCGCGCCUGGUGCGCGAGCUCGAGGGCGUCGACCUGCUCGUCGAGCACGUCCGCGGCGUCCCUGCCGAGUUCAUCAAGCUCAGUGCGGCCGCCUUUUUUUUUUCCUUUUUUAGUUUGUUUUUCCAUGGCAUCCUAAUUCCGACUAAUGAGGCGGUUUCCGCGAGAAAGCUCAGAGAUUAAAUUGAUUUAUAGUGCAUGUGGUUUUGCUGUUCCAAUUUAGCUGUCCGUGCCCAUGGGGAUUCUGGGCAGAGCGGCUUCUGAGAUGCAGAUGAAGAAGCUUACCUACAUUAGUAACUCGAUUAAUGCACCAAGUGUUUGAGAUGUGGCGUCAGACCCUCAGUAGUGUGUUCGUGUGCUCAUUGUUUAGGAUGGUGGUGGUAGACUGGUAGCUUUCCAUAUCGCAUAUACCACUUGUCCUCGCUUGGCAUCAUUUUAUUUUGAGAAUCAGUACUACUUGCCCAAUCUCCAGUAGCUUGUUUUAGAUGUUCGAGAGCUAAAUCAGUGAUUCUCUAAGUAUAUUGAACUGAAUCUUGCAAAUGCUUUUGGCCUUCAUAUGCCUCUAUCUAGAAAAUUCAAGUCCCUUUCCGUUAUGCUAUUAUGCCUCCCCACAAACUUCUUGGAUCCCUCUCUCUUGCUACUUAACAUGCCGUGCAAGUGUACAACUUAUACGUGAAUACACUAGAAAAACAUGAUAUGCUUUAUUUGUUCUCGUAUAAAUCCAACAAAGUAGUAAAUGCACUUGUCUUACAUAUAUCAGAUAGAGUGGGGUAACCUCUGCAAAUAAACAGCAGGCAAUUUUCCUUCAGUAGCAAUAGUUCUGCAUGUAGAUACAAAAAAUGUUCGAUUGCUUACAUAUUAAAGCGUUGCUGCAGGGAAAAUGCUUGCCCCGUUCUACAUCAUUGUUUUUUGUUUAAGGAUCCAUUCACCUAGUUCCUAGUUUUGAUGGCUUUUGUUCUCUUUGUUUACAGAUCAAGUGUUUCAUUGCCUUUACCGUGUUUCUUAAAGCCUUUGGUGGUCUCCUUUUCAUCAUCAGCAGCUCGUUCGGAGCGUUCGUACUGGUCUCCGCCAACAUUGGGAAUUUGGGAUGGUAGUGCCACACAUUGAUGGCAAUGGAUAAAAUCUAGUUCGGAUAGUUGACAGAGGGAGUACAUGCUCAGUUGACUUCUUUUCCUGCGGAUUUGCUUAUCGUGAAGAUGCUUGCAAGGAUGCAGAGGAAGCGGAUCAUUUGGAGAGAUAGGAUGCCACUGUUUGGUGUUUUUAUGCAUUUUGGUUUGCUUGUAACUGUGUUUGCAUUAGCUGGGAGUAAGUGACUUGGCAAGAAGUGUAGGUGUUUUAAUUGAAGGCAUGAAAAGCCAUGACAAUAUGUAUGCUCUUACAGGAUGUGCUCUAAUGCCGUUGGUUUGU